UACAAAGGAAUUGACGGGGCCCGGCACAAGCGGUGGAGUAUGUGGUUAAUUCGAUGCAACGCGAAGAACCUUACCUGGUCUUGACAUCCCGGAGACCCUUAGGAAACUAGGGGGUGCUUCCAUCUGGAAGAAUCUGGAGACAGGUGCUGCAGUGGCUGUCGUCAGCUCGUGUCGUGAGAUGGUUGGGUUAACGUCCCGCAACGAGCGACCAACCCUUGUCCUUUAGUUGCCAGCAGGUUCCGGCGUGGGCACUUUAAAAGGGACUGCCGGUGUUAAACCGGAGGAAGGUGGGGAUGACGUCAAGUCCUCAUGGCCUUUAUGACCAGGGCUACACACGUACUACAAUGGCCGAUACAAAGGGCAGCGACACUGCGAGGUGAAGCCAAUCCCGUAAAAUCGGUCUCAGUCCGGAUUGGAGUCUGCAACUCGACUCCAUGAAGUUGGAAUCGCUAGUAAUCGUGGAUCAGCAUGCCACGGUGAAUACGUUCCCGGGCCUU
rnacentral:rRNA from 1 species